UACGAAGGGGGCUAGCGUUGCUCGGAAUCACUGGGCGUAAAGGGUGCGUAGGCGGGUCUUUAAGUCAGGGGUGAAAUCCUGGAGCUCAACUCCAGAACUGCCUUUGAUACUGAAGACCUUGAGUUCGGGAGAGGUGAGUGGAACUGCGAGUGUAGAGGUGAAAUUCGUAGAUAUUCGGAAGAACACCAGUGGCGAAGGCGGCUCACUGGCCCGGUACUGACGCUGAGGUGCGAAAGCGUGGGUAGCAAACAGG
rnacentral:rRNA from 1 species